CGCGCCCGCGCAGGUCAGCAUCGGCAGCCCCGAGAAGAUGGAGCCCAUCACCAAGGUGUCCCACAUCCCCAGCAGCCGCUGGGCGCUGCUCUGCUCCCUGUGCAGCGAGAAGCUCGGCGCGUCCAUCCAGUGCUCCGUGAAGAACUGCCGCACCGCCUUCCACGUGACCUGCGCCUUUGAGCGGGGCCUGGAGAUGAAGACCAUCCUGGCGGAGAACGACGAGGUCAAGUUCAA